AUCACUUGGCUGUUAAUGCCCUUCUGAAAAGCAACCUGGUGAGCGAGAUGGAAGGAGGUGACUUUUUGGGAUUUGAACAGGAUGUGAAUCCCAGAGGAAGUAGUUCGAACGUUAACGCCAGUUUUGAUGAGACCACUGGAUGUGCUCAAGCAUUCCGAGUCCUGAAACAAUUGAUUACUGCAUUAUUUGCCUCCCUUCCUUUUAUUUUCCUUUUUUGCUCUUGCUCUGUGCGUACAGCUUCGAAACUAUAUACCUGAAACCUUGGCAAAAUGCUAUUUUCUCCAAAUCACUGAUUAUGACUCUGAAAUGCCUUAUUAUGUAUUUAAGAGAGAAGCAGAUUUUCCAUAUCAUUGAUUUUGUAUUUGUAUAACAGGUCCUUUGGGUGUCAGAUAAUGGUAUUCCAGACCUUGGUGGUCUGAACAAUGAAGAGACAUUCUUUGCUGAUGAGGUAUGUCAAAUGAUUUUUCCUUUUUGCCUUUUAGUAUGCGUGGGCUUUGUCAUGAACUUCGCCCGCUUCCAUGUUUUUUUAGACUAUGAAAGUGAUAACUGGGAUGCUUCUUUUGUCACAGGUGCAACAGACAAGUUUGGUAUAUCCUGGAGCGUAUAGAAAAAUUUCUGUGGAGUUAAAGGUCACAAUUUUUUUUUUGCUUUAAUCGUUGUGAAUUUUGGAUUUUUUUUCUAAUUAACAUGCAUCGUGCAGAUCCAUCACUUGGCUGUUAAUGCCCUUCUGAAAAGCAACCUGGUGAGCGAGAUGGAAGGAGGUGACUUUUUGGGAUUUGAACAGGAUGUGAAUCCCAGAGGAAGUAGUUCGAACGUUAACGCCAGUUUUGAUGAGACCACUGGAUGUGCUCAAGCAUUUCGAGUCCUGAAACAAUUGAUUAAUAGUUGCUUGACUGAUGUGUGUAAAUCACGCAAUAUAUAUGCUGAUUCCAUUUUGCAAC
rnacentral:lncRNA from 1 species